ensembl:lncRNA
UCCAUGCUGUGUCUCUAUAGUAGAAGCACAAGGGUCAUGACCCAGGUGGAAGAUAGGUUAAAGUAACUUCAAGAUACUUUUGUGCUCCUUUAACCUUGGAUUGCCCUGGGGUCUGCUGAAAGCUCUAGCGUAAUCUAUUCAGCUAAAAUUGUGGCUCCUCCACAGUGUCCUAAGGGGAUGUGAAAUAGGAUUGCAUGAAAUAGAAAUGUCAUGGCUGAAAUAGCCGUAAUGCCAUUCCUCUUGUCCCCACUCCAAACUGUAGCACGCUUGUUAUACUAGACCUUGAGAAAGAAUGUUAGGAACAAGGCUUUUUGCUUUUUUUAGUGCUUCUACUAAGGAAAUCUGACAUGUUUUGAGGGAUUUUUAGGGCCCCUUUAGACCUCUGUGUUGCUUCUUCAUGGAUAACAGUGAAGAUGAGUCUUUUCUGUUUAAUCCCUCUAAGUCUCAGGUAUAAGAUGUUUUUCUUUUUACUUGUCCCUAAGUAGUAAGCCUUUUAGAUUUGAUUUGGAUUUUAUUCCACAUGUUGGCCCUGGCUGAGAGGAGUCUAGAUUUUUCUCUGAGGAUGUCUAACAAUGCUGGAAAGUAAAUAAUCAGGACAAAACAGAAUGCUUGACUUUGUAUUAGGUCAUUUUACUUUUCAGGAGUGAAAAGUGCAGGAAGGCUAGGGGAGGCAGAAAAUGACUCAAUUUAACUAUGGUGCUUUCUGGUUGUGCGGACAUCAUUCGGAAACAUCACCACAAUGAAAUAUAGGUCUUUGUUCUCUGUCUGUGAAGGAAUUCUGUCUUCCCUGAAGAUGGAGGCAAAAUUCAAGAGGUACUGGACUGCACCUGAGGAUUGCUUUGUCUACAGCAAAAGCAUGAGCAAAUGAUGUCCAGGAUCUGUGUCUCUCCUUACACCAUCAAGACUGCAGGGACACUGGGGCCAGCUGGCAUUUGCUAAAGCUACAUGAAACGCAAAUGGAUAUACAGAAGAAUGCUUUCAUUUGUAGUUACGUCAAGUGGAGAUGUAACACUAGAAACAUAAGGAUGUUUGUUGAUGCAAGGACCACCAGGCACUGAGCACUGGAAUUUUGCUCAAAGGAAGCAAGCCAGAUGGGAAGAGAAAAGAAAUCCCCAGCUUUCAAGUGUCACAUCAUCACAGGCAAUAAGUCCAUGAGUGUUGUAGAUGACUGGAAUAAUCCUCUGCAUGGGAAGUCUCCUAAGGAAAAGGGAUUUCACUUGGUACUAUUAUAGUUGCCUUGGUUUAAAGCAGAGAUGAAUUCAGGACUGUAAAUUUUAUGCUAAUGGUCUUUGUCCUCCAGUCAAUACAGAAGGAACAGAUUGGAUUAUCAUCAGAAAAGCUCAAGUGGUUUGAUUUACCUGAAGUGAUACUCAUUGUUUGUUCAGAAUUAGACUGAUGAAAAAGGAGGUUGAUUGGACAAAACCUCUUUUCAAAUUCUAUGGCUUGAGAAUCCAUUUUAACUGAUUUUUCCAGAAAUGUGUCAAAAUAAAUUUGAAAGACAAUACUUAUAACUACUAAAAUAACUACUGCUAUUUCAUGUGGUUAUGGAGCAGUCACAGUGAUAUGCCUUUAAAAUUUUUCUUAUUGCUUUAAGCAUCCAUCUAGAUGCUGUGAAGUAUUUGCUUAUGUAAUAUCAAAACACUUGUUAAAUUUUCUACCCUUCCUCCCCUUGUCUGCUUUUUGUUGUUUAGAAGAACACUACAUCUAGUAUUUAAAGUGUUUUGGAAACAUAAAGGAUAAAAUUACUUAGCAUGACUUGAUUUUUAGUGACAAUGUUUGCUGAUGUGCUAGUUGGAAUUUACCAAAGAGUAGUUGGAAUUUUUUUGAACCUGAUCAUUGUUUUUCAAAAUGUUCACCCUUGGAGGCAACAAUUUCAGAACUAAGCUUUUGUUGAUAUUUGAGCAUGAAUCAUCUUUGGAAUGUCUGAGGAGAGCAUUGGCUUCUCUAUUUUUAAGUUAAGGUGGAAUGAAAUAACAAAGAACAAUUCAUUCAUUGCAAAAAGAAAACCUUCAUGUAAUGCAUGGUAGUGAUAGCCAGUGAAACAGGCAGAUCUGUGAUAGUUACAGAUAGUUAUAAAUUUCUUUUUCCAUUCUUCUGUGCUGAAAUCAUAAAUUAACUUUUAAGAUGUUUUUCUUGCAGAAUGUAUUGGGCUUUGUAGAUCUUAAGAAAUAGUAUCUACUAACAUAAAAGAUGAUUUUCUUAGUGAUUCAAGAGAAUGUUGCACAUGGACACAUGCUAGGGAUACUUUGAAAAGCUGCUCUGUACCUAAUACAGCUGAUGAAUACAGUUGUAAAGAAUGAUACAUAAUGCAUGCAGAUUUGAAGUUUGUUUCCAGUCUUGUAUGAACUGUAAAUAAAUACGUUGACCACU